rnacentral:rRNA from 1 species
ACGUAGGAGGCGAGCGUUAUCCGGAAUCACUGGGCGUAAAGGGCAUGUAGGCGGUUGCGCAAGUCGUGUGUUAAAGCCCCUGGCUCAACUAGGGGAGGUCAUGCGAGACUGUGCGGCUAGAGGGCAGGAGAGGCACGUGGAACUCCCGGUGUAGCGGUGGAAUGCGUAGAGAUCGGGAAGAACAUCAGUGGCGAAGGCGACGUGCUGGGCUGCACCUGACGCUGAGGUGCGAAAGUGUGGGGAGCAAACGGGAUUAGAUACCCCGGUAGUCCACACCUUAAACGAUGAACACUAGGUGUGGGAGGGAGAACCUUCCGUGCCGAAGCCAACGCGUUACGUGUUCCGCCUGGGGACUAUGAGCGCAAGCUUAAACCUCAA